rnacentral:rRNA from 1 species
GACGUAGGGCGCAAGCGUUGUCCGGAAUUAUUGGGCGUAAAGAGCUCGUAGGCGGCUUGUUGCGUCGACUGUGAAAAACCACGACUCAACCGUGGGACUGCAGUCGAUACGGGCAGGCUAGAGUUCGGUAGGGGAGACUGGAAUUCCUGGUGUAGCGGUGAAAUGCGCAGAUAUCGGGAAGAACACCGGUGGCGAAGGCGGGUCUCUGGGCCGGAACUGACGCUGAGGAGCGAAAAGCGUGGGA